CCUACGGGAGGCAGCAGUCGGGAAUAUUGCGCAAUGGAGGAAACUCUGACGCAGGGACGCCGCGUGCAGGAAGAAGGUUUUCGGAUUGUAAACUGCUUUAGACAGGGAAGAAAAAAGACAGUACCGGGAGAAUAAGCGCCGGCUAACUACGUGCCAGCAGCCGCGGUAAUACGGAGGGAGCAAGCGUGAUCCGGAUUUAUUGGGGGUAACGGGUGCGUAGACGGAGAAGCAAGUUAGUUGUGAAAUCCCUCGGCUUAACUUAGGAACUGCAACUAAAACUACUUCCCUUGAGUUCUGGAGUGGCCAGUGGACUUCCUAGUGUAGCGGUUCAAUUCGUAGAUAUUAGGAGGCACACCAGUGGCGCAGGCGACUUUCUGGACAGUAACUGCCGUUGAGGCAC
rnacentral:rRNA from 1 species